rnacentral:rRNA from 1 species
AUGACCUCUUCUUCUUCCUCUUGCUCCUCCUCCUCCUCCUCCGGCGGCGGCGGAUCGGGGUGGGGGGAGGGGAGGCCGCGGCUGGUGGUGAUCGUCGGCGCCACCGGCACCGGGAAGACCAAGCUGUCCAUCGACGCCGCGCGGGCGCUGGGCGGCGAGGUCGUCAACGCCGACAAGAUCCAGCUCUACCAAGGCCUCGACGUCACCACCAACAAGGUGCCCCUCGCCGACCGCCGCGGCGUCGCGCACCACCUGCUCGGCGCCGUCCCCCCCGACGCCGGCGCGCUCCCGCCGUCCUCCUUCCGCGCCCUCGCAGACGCCAAGGCCGCCUCGAUCGCGGCCAGGGGGAUGCUGACCGUCGUCGCCGGCGGGUCCAACUCCCUCAUCCACGCCCUCCUCGCCGACCUCCCCGACGACGCCGCGCUCCCCGAGGACCCCUUCUCCCUCGACCGCUCCUACCGCCCCGCGCUCCGGUACCCCUGCUGCCUCCUCUGGGUGGACGUGGAGGAGGCGCUCCUCGCCGAGUACCUGGACCGGCGCGUGGACGACAUGGUGGGCGCCGGCAUGGUGGAGGAGCUCCGGGAGUACUUCGCCGCCACCACCCCCGCGGAGCGCGCGGCCCACGCCCCCGGGCUGGGCAAGGCCAUCGGGGUGCCGGAGCUGGGCGAGUACCUCGCCGGGCGCAGGAGCUUCCGCGCCGCUGUCGACGACAUCAAGGCCAACACCCGGCGCCUGGCCGCCGCGCAGGUGGGCAAGAUCCGGCGCAUGGCCGACGGCUGGGGCUGGCCCGUGCGCCGCCUCGACGCCUCCGCCACCAUCCGCGCGCGGCUCGACGGCGCCGGCCCGGCCGCCGAGUCGGCGUCCUGGGAGCGCGACGUCCGCGGCCCCGGCCUCGCCGCCAUCCGCGCCUUCCUCGCCGACCAGGCCUCCCACGGUCACGGCAAUGACGCCACCGCUAGCGCCAACGGCGUGGACGAGCCGCCCUCGCCGGCGCUGCUGAUGCGGCUGCCGCGGAUGCAAUGCUGCGACAUGGUGGUGUGA